rnacentral:tRNA from 1 species
CAGUGAUUAGCGCAGCCUGGUAGCGUAUCCUGACUUGGAAACCAGAGUGGAGCAGAGGGUCAGAGGUUCGAAUCCUCUAUCACCGA